rnacentral:misc_RNA from 1 species
UGUUCGAGCGUCAUUACAACCCUCAAGCGCUGCUUGGUAUUGGGCCCUGCCGCGCGCCGGCAGGCCUCAAAGUCAGUGGCGGUGCGUCCGGCUCCAAGCGUAGUAGACCACUCGCGCUCCCGGGGACCGCGGCGCGCCCGCCAGCAACCACACUCACCAAGGUUGACCUCGGAUCAGGUAGGGAUACCCGCUGAACUUAA